UCCUACUAAACAGAUGAAGUUUGCAGCC
rnacentral:piRNA from 1 species